rnacentral:lncRNA from 1 species
UAACCUUUCCGAAAUUUGCUGCCCAAUGAAUAGGGGUCCAACCAUAUAAACCAUCCUCCUGGUAAAAGUUUGGACCAUUUGACAACAACAAAGACAUAGCGUCGAGGUCACCGUCGCGACAAGCUCUGUGCAAAGGAUAGUGAGUUUCUAGCAGAUCCUCUGAUGUAGGGGACCAAUUUCCAGAUUCGUGUUCGUCUUCCAUUGCUUUCUUAUACAACUGUCAUUCAAUUCUUAGCAUAAAACGGUGAAAUUCUUUGAGCUUUUCAUAACAUGCCGGUCUUUCUCAUCUGUUUACUACUUCUCUAUCCGGG